GUUAUUACCGUCAGGGUCAGAGCGUAACGGCACCGUUAAGACUCCGCAGCAUCACGCGCUACGCUGGGUGACCAAGUAACUUUCCAGCUAAGAGGACAGAAAAAGGUGACAAGGAACAACACAGAAAAAUCUCUGCUGGCCAAACCCAUCAAGAGGAGCAAGGACAUUUUUAAAGGCAGUCUGGCUUGAGAGCAGCGUGGAAAAGUCCAACGGUGAUAAAUCAGAGGGAUGGCGGGUCGGCCCAGGGUGCGGGACCGAGCGACACUGAGCCGGGGAGGUGCGCGGUGGGUACCUUUGAGUCACUCGGCAGAGGAGACCGCAGACAGCUUCCUCUCCCUGGCUGACAGGCAGCCUGGGGCUCGAUCAGGGCGCCUCCUGUGCGCCGCGGCCGUUGGUGCGGCACACGAAGCAGGUCACAUGGGUUCCUGUGUCCUCUCACUCAAAAGCCAGAGUGAGUCUGAGGCUUCACAGCUUCAUAUCUGUCAAACGGCAUCAACCGCAUAGAAAAAGGCCCCCGACCAGCGUGGAGGAGAGCAGGGGAGCAGAGGAGAUGCAUGGGCCGGAGGCUGGGCGGGGACUUCGCCACAACCACAGGCUUUAAGGAACCCAGUAUCUGACCUGCAAGCUGCAGACAUGGCGCUCAGGAGUCAUGGUGACGCUAUCCAGCAUGGCCUGGAGACGCCUUUAAGGUGGCUGCUCGAGAAAAUGCCAGUGGAAUGAAAAUGCAGAAAAUGCAGUUCUGCAGGGCUUUGUGGGACAAAAAAUAACCUUCACAGCUAGUAAAAUAAUGAAGGGAGGUCAGAUCAGGGUCACCGUGUCUCAAAAAGAUGGACAGAUUUAAACUAUGCUACUGAAUAGGACAGAGGAAAAGAAAAACUGAACAAGAAAGGGAGACACUGCUGGUAAUUGCGGUGUAACUGGGAAGGCUGGC